AGUGAUCAGAUAAGGUUGGCUUGGUUGCAAGGGAAGUAUGGUUAAUCCACCAUUAUCUUGCAGGUUAAGGGCAGUUUUUGGCCUUCUAAACCCCGGAGGUGUAAACAUCAUCUUUAGUUACUUCAACUGAGUUUUAGCAAACAUGGUCUUUUACAUCUGGGUUUUAUGAUUCAUCAGGUUUCGCAACACCAGAAACUAGGUGUGUUUAGGCAAUAAAAGUUGUUUAUUGUGAAAGGGAUUCCAAUCCUGAUAACAUCAAAAGAUGAGACGCUGCAUAUUCUGUGGCUCUUUUCCGAGACCCAUCUGGGUAUAACCGAAAUUUAUCAAGAAUCCAAACUAGAACAACUAACAAGUCAAUUAGACCCUCGGUUUUUUCAAGUCAGAAUAGGAAAGGCCUACAUUCUCUCGUAGAUUUUCUAAUCCAGUCCAAGCAACCUUUGGAAGAGUAAAGACAUUAAUCGAAUGUUAUAAAUCCGACAAAAUUUGAUCACCUGGUCGUUCCUAGAGUCACUGUACCAGAAACAAAAAAUGAACGAAACCAUAUAAAAAGCACAUCUUUUAUGGUACACUGGCUUCAAUUGUCCCAGCAACUAUCGUCUGAUCCUCACUUCUCAGUUGAGCAAAACCAACGCAUAUAGUUUCUUCAUCAUAUGCUGCAAGGAAAUUAAUUAAUUGCAAAUAUGCUGUGAUUAAUUAAGAUUCUUAUUUGCAUGUCUUCAAAAGUAGGGAAAAAAAAGGUUUUAUACCAAGAAGCUUAUAUGCCAACAUGCAGCACCGAAAUAAGGAUUAGAUGUUCAGCAUAAUAAUGGAAUCUAUCAGUGAUAAGGAAAAUACAUAGCCACCCACUUGCAUUCUAUGCCUGGCAUAGUCCAGGUAACCUAAAACACUCUACUAGCAUACUUCCCUCCAGAAAGUUAUUAAUUUAGCAGAAAACGGCAUCCUUAAACAAAGAAUAUGAUUUUUUAUUUUACUGGGUCCUGUACUAACUUAUUUGAACAAGGGAAUGCAAUUUUAAAAUGGAAAGUUUUAUCAUGUCAAGGUUGGUAGCUAGAGAGAUGGAAAGCUCACUUCUGAUAGAAGAUUUGAGUUAAUAGCCAACGAAGAGAAAGGCAAGAGUUGUUCAAAGGUUAAAAGCUAAACCAGAGGUUAGUAAGAUAAUGUAAAGGGUUAGAACAACAUAGAAAAAGCCAAAUGCAUUUUUUGUGGUAAGACAUAUAGGGUGAUCAUUCCAUGCAUUGUAAAUCUGUGAACAGGCUGUUAUACAUCAGGUUCAGUAUCACAUCCAAAAAGCCCUCUUCCCUAAGACGACCUUUCAUUUUUAUAGUGGUUACCUAUGCAGCUUCAACCAGCUCCAUUGAUUUAUGCUCUUUAGCGGACACUAAGAACCAAAAGUGGGCAAAAUGCAUCUGUGAUGAAUGCGUUUGGGAUUUGUGGAUUACAAUUACGUGAAAUACAAUCUUAUCACGCAACUACAUUCUCCAACAGUAAGAAGAAAGCUUUAUCACUAAUUUUACAUUGGAACAAAGCAUGAGAAGGAACUUGAUGGAAAAUGGAAAAGUGUUGAAAGAAAAAGUGAUCUCUUCUAGUUCACCCUACAGAGUUGAUUAGCCACUGGAUUGAGUCCAAAACCAUUGCUUCUGCUUCUGAAGGGCUUCAAUCAUCGUCCUUGAAUUCUCUGCUCACAACAAAAUACAUGCUUGUGUUAGUAAUACAAUUUAGAAUCUCAACUCUUUGCCUCUCUCUCAAGUUGAUAAUAAUUCUAAUAAAAAAAAUGUAAAUGCUAAUUCCUUUCCUGCUAGCUUAAUCUAUUUCAGCAUGUUCUAAACAUCCGAUAUUUUAUUAAAAUCUUAAGACUCAAUUGACUUAUUUAGCACAACGCUAAUUCAGUGGAAAGUUCCCAUUUCCACCCAACAUCUUAAAAUUAGUAAGAAUAGCUAACCUUGCUGAUCAUAUUUUCCCAAUUAUACAAUUGCGAGAAGCAAUCAGAAUUAUUCAAGCAUACAAAGCACUAGUCAAUAAUAUGUUCAUUCAAUCAUACCUUGUUUGCAAGGAAGAAAAGAAAACACAAAUUUAAAGAUUCAUUACUGCGAUCAAGAUAAUGGGGUUGUAUUCCAGUGCCUCGACAUGUUGUACAUGUCAAAGAACCAACACCAUCACAAUUGAUACAUCGAGAGACUUCU
rnacentral:misc_RNA from 1 species